rnacentral:misc_RNA from 1 species
GAAAUGCGAUAAGUAAUGUGAAUUGCAGAAUUCAGUGAAUCAUCGAAUCUUUGAACGCACAUUGCGCCCGCCAGCACUCUGGCGGGCAUGCCUGUUCGAGCGUCAUUUCAACCCUCAGAACCCCUUGCGGGAUCUGGCGUUGGGGAUUGGCAUCCAGCCAGCCCCGAAAUCUAGUGGCGGUCCCUCCGCGACCUCCCCUGUGCAGUAGCGAUACCUCGCAGCGGGACAGCGGUCUGACCACGCCGUAAAACCCCCAACUUCUCAAGGUUGACCUCGAAUCAGGUAGGAAUACCCGCUGAAGUUACGC